AAAGGAAUAGACGGGGGCCCGCACAAGCGGAGGAGCAUGUGGUUUAAUUCGAUGAUACGCGAGGAACCUUACCCGGGCUUGAACGUAAGACGCAUAAUGAGGAAACUUGUUAGCCUACGGGCGUUUUGCGAGGUGCUGCAUGGUUGUCGUCAGCUCGUGCCGUGAGGUGUUAGGUUAAGUCCUGCAACGAGCGCAACCCUUACCCUUAGUUGCCAGCACGUUAUGGUGGGGACUCUAUGGGAACUGCCUACGCAAGUAGAGAGGAAGGUGGGGAUGACGUCAAAUCAGCACGGCCCUUAUGUUCGGGGCUACACACGUGCUACAAUGGUAUGUACAGAGGGCAGCGACCACGUGAGUGGCAGCCAAUCCUCAAAGCAUAUCUCAGUUCGGAUUGGAGUCUGUAACUCGACUCCAUGAAGUUGGAUUCGCUAGUAAUCGCGCAUCAGCCAUGGCGCGGUGAAUACGUUCCCGGGCCUUGUACACACCGCCCGU
rnacentral:rRNA from 1 species